GACGAACGCUGGCGGCGUGCCUAAUACAUGCAAGUUGAGCGCUGAAGGUUGGUACUUGUACCAACUGGAUGAGCAGCGAACGGGUGAGUAACGCGUGGGGAAUCUGCCUUUGAGCGGGGGACAACAUUUGGAAACGAAUGCUAAUACCGCAUAAAAACUUUAAACACAAGUUUUAAGUUUGAAAGAUGCAAUUGCAUCACUCAAAGAUGAUCCCGCGUUGUAUUAGCUAGUUGGUGAGGUAAAGGCUCACCAAGGCGAUGAUACAUAGCCGACCUGAGAGGGUGAUCGGCCACAUUGGGACUUGGAAACCGCCCAAACUCCUACGGGAGGCAGCAGUAGGGAAUCUUCGGCAAUGGACGAAAGUCUGACCGAGCAACGCCGCGUGAGUGAAGAAGGUUUUCGGAUCGUAAAACUCUGUUGGUAGAGAAGAACGUUGGUGAGAGUGGAAAGCUCAUCAAGUGACGGUAACUACCCAGAAAGGGACGGCUAACUACGUG
rnacentral:rRNA from 1 species